rnacentral:tRNA from 1 species
GUAGCUCAGUGGUAGAGUGCUUGCCUCGCAUGCAUGAGGCUCUGGGUUCGAUUCCUCAGC